rnacentral:rRNA from 1 species
UACGGGGGGGCAAGCGUUGUUCGGAAUUACUGGGCGUAAAGGGUGCGUAGGCUGGUCUUUAAGUCCGGGGUGAAAUCCUGGAGCUCAACUCCAGAACUGCCUUUGAUACUGAAGAUCUUGAGUUCGGGAGAGGUGAGUGGAACUGCGAGUGUAGAGGUGAAAUUCGUAGAUAUUCGCAAGAACACCAGUGGCGAAGGCGGCUCACUGGCCCGAUACUGACGCUGAGGCACGAAAGCGUGGGGAGCAAACAGG